CAGGGUAUCCAUGGGAACGUGAAAGCAGUGAGACCAGGAUUAAGACUUUGGACAAAGGAGAGAACAAGAAAACUCUUCCAUCUGGGAAGACAGAAAACUCAGCGUGGCGCAGAGGAGCCAAGCACUCCCAGGGCGUGAUAACAGCUGGAACAUAAGCUCUGGGAGAGCCGAGGUUGGCGUGUGCUGUUUCACAACUGGAAACACAUGGCAGGUGCCCCACAGGCCGACUUCUGACCCUAGGCAGCAAUAAGUUAACAGCGAUGAUUUCUGAACGGAGGUGAGGAUUAACCAAAAAAAAAAGGGUUACC